UUUCGAAGUAUAAACACACGCGGAGCCGGUGAAUCCGCUUACCGCUCACCUGGACGCAUGCGCAUUAUGCGCACGUUACACGUUUAUCUCUGUAUACAUCGCGUAGUAUUGUAUUUUUUGUCGUCCGCGUUUCGAUGUGUGACAAGUGACAACCGAACACAAUGAAAAGUUUAAUCGCGCGCAAUCAGCAAAUGCCGUUAGGCCAAUUUUCAACAAACACGUUGAAAAAACACUAAAAACAAAACUGUACAGUGUGAUUAAUGUGAUAACUCGCUUUAAAUUGCCCAUUGGUUGAGUAGUGUACAUUGUGACCAUGUAAAGUUAUAAAAUACAACAAAUUACAAAACAACGUUUGGAAAUGAUCACUGCCAUCAUGAUAACGGACAUCGAGGUUAUUAACUGAGUGCAAUAUCGGAUUAUCUAACUUUUAACUAGGUGCAAGUAACUUAUUACAUUAUGAAGUGUUUGCAAUAUUGUCAAGUGCGAUAAUAGUUAUUUAUUAAGUGCUUACAGUGUGUUUUUUGUGACUUUUGGUAAUAAAAUGGAGGAACCAGUAAGACUAUCGCGAUAUUAUGGGUUGCUGUCGACGCUCGCCAACGAUCUAGAUCAAAUGCUCAGCGAGUUAUACUCUACAUCGCCAUUGCCGUAUGAUCGACUCGAGGCAGACAACGAAAUUCCAAACACAAGAAAUCUCAUCGAUACAGCUAAUAAAUAAACAGGCACAACCCCAGGAAGUCAUGAUACAUGUGAAAAU